GACAGAGGGUGCAAACGUUGUUCGGAAUUACUGGGCGUAAAGCGCGUGUAGGCGGCCCUGUAAGUCGGGUGUGAAAUCCCACGGCUCAACCGUGGAAGUGCAUUCGAAACUACAGGGCUAGAGUUCUGGAGAGGAAGGUGGAAUGCUUGGUGUAGAGGUGAAAUUCGUAGAUAUCGGGAGGAACACCAGUGGCGAAGGCGCUGACCUGGACGAUGAUUGACGCUGAGGCGCGAAAGCGUGGGGAGCAAACAGG
rnacentral:rRNA from 1 species